CCCUUAGAUGUCCUGGGCCGCACGCGCGUUACACUGAUGCGUUCAACGAGCUUAUAACCUUGGCCGAGAGGCCUGGGCAAUCUUGUUAACGUGCAUCGUGAUAGGGAUAGAUUAUUGAAAUUAUUAAUCUUGAACGAGGAAUUCCUAGUAAACGCAGAUCAUCAAUCUGCAUUGAUUACGUCCCUGCCCUUUGUACACACCGCCCGUCGCACCUACCGAUUGGAUGGUCCGGUGAAGCCUCGGGAUUGUGGUUCUUGCCGCUUUAUUGUGGCGUGACCGCGAGAACUUGUCUAAACCUUAUCAUCUAGAGGAAGGUGAAGUCGUANCA
rnacentral:rRNA from 1 species